UCUCGACUAGUAUAUCGGUUAGUACACGCGCCUGUCAAGUUAUUCACGUAAUUAUGGUGCGCGCGAAAGCUGGGUUCGACUCCCAGGUCGAGAG